GACGAACGCUGGCGGCGUGCUUAACACAUGCAAGUCGAACGGAAAGGCCCUGCUUUUGUGGGGUGCUCGAGUGGCGAACGGGUGAGUAACACGUGAGUAACCUGCCCUUGACUUUGGGAUAACUUUAGGAAACUGGGGCUAAUACCGGAUAGGAGCUCCUGCUGCAUGGUGGGGGUUGGAAAGUUUCGGCGGUUGGGGAUGGACUCGCGGCUUAUCAGCUUGUUGGUGGGGUAGUGGCUUACCAAGGCUUUGACGGGUAGCCGGCCUGAGAGGGUGACCGGCCACAAUGGGACUAAGAUACGGCCCAGCAUCCUACGGGAGGCAACAGUGGGAAGUAUUGCACAAUGGGCGGAAGCCUGAUGCGGCAACGCCGCGUGCGGGAUGACGGCCUUCGGGUUGUAAACCGCUUUCGCCUGUGACGAAGCGUGAGUGACGGUAAUGGGUAAAGAAGCACCGGCUAACUACGUG
rnacentral:rRNA from 1 species